rnacentral:rRNA from 1 species
AUUGAACGCUGGCGGCAUGCUUUACACAUGCAAGUCGAACGGUAACAGGUUAAGCUGACGAGUGGCGAACGGGUGAGUAAUGCAUCGGAACGUGCCCGAUCGUGGGGGAUAACGCAGCGAAAGCUGCGCUAAUACCGCAUACGAUCUGAGGAUGAAAGCGGGGGACCGUAAGGCCUCGCGCGAUCGGAGCGGCCGAUGUCAGAUUAGGUAGUUGGUGGGGUAAAGGCUCACCAAGCCAACGAUCUGUAGCUGGUCUGAGGAGACGACCAGCCACACUGGGACUGAGACACGGCCCAGACUCCUACGGGAGGCAGCAGUGGGGAAUUUUGGACAAUGGGCGAAAGCCUGAUCCAGCAAUGCCGCGUGCAGGAAGAAGGCCUUCGGGUUGUAAACUGCUUUUGUACGGAGCGAAAAGGUCUCCUCUAAUACAGGGGGCUCAUGACGGUACCGUAAGAAUAAGCACCGGCUAACUACGUGCCAGCAGCCGCCGUAA